AGUGAACGCUGGCGGUAGGCCUAACACAUGCAGGUCGAACGGCAGCACAGUAAGAGCUUGCUCUUACGGGUGGCGAGUGGCGGACGGGUGAGGAAUACAUCGGAAUCUACUUUUUCGUGGGGGAUAACGUAGGGAAACUUACGCUAAUACCGCAUACGACCUACGGGUGAAAGCAGGGGAUCUUCGGACCUUGCGCGAUUGAAUGAGCCGAUGUCGGAUUAGCUAGUUGGCGGGGUAAAGGCCCACCAAGGCGACGAUCCGUAGCUGGUCUGAGAGGAUGAUCAGCCACACUGGAACUGAGACACGGUCCAGACUCCUACGGGAGGCAGCAGUGUGGAAUAUUGGACAAUGGGCGCAAGCCUGAUCCAGCCAUACCGCGUGGGUGAAGAAGGCCUUCGGGUUGUAAAGCCCUUUUGUUGGGAAAGAAAAGCAGCAGGUUAAUACCCCGCUGUUCUGACGGUACCCAAAGAAUAAGCACCGGCUAACUUCGUG
rnacentral:rRNA from 1 species